rnacentral:rRNA from 1 species
AUUGAACGCUGGCGGCAGGACUAACACAUGCAAGUCGAACGAGUGGCGGACGGGUGCGUCAUGGCUGGGAAACUGCCUGAUGGAGGGGGAUAACUACUGGAAACGGUAGCUAAUACCGCCUACCAUCAAAUGUGCCCAGAUGUGAUUAGCUAGGUGGUGGGGUAACGGCUCACAAAGGCGACGCACCCUAGCUGGUCUGAGAGGAUGAACAGCCAAACUGGAACUGAGACACGGUCCAGACUCCUACGGGAGGCAGCAGUGGGGAAUAUUGCACAAUGGGCGCAAGCCUGAUGCAGCCAUGCCGCGUGUAUAAAGAAGGCCUUCGGGUUGUAAAGUACUUUCAGCGGGGAGGCGUUACCCGCAGAAGAAGCACCGGCUAACUCCGUGCCAGCAGCCGCGGUAAUUC